AUUGAACGCUGGCGGCAGGCCUAACACAUGCAAGUCGGACGGUAGCACAGAGAGCUUGCUCUCGGGUGACGAGUGGCGGACGGGUGAGUAAUGUCUGGGGAUCUGCCCGAUAGAGGGGGAUAACCACUGGAAACGGUGGCUAAUACCGCAUAACGUCGCAAGACCAAAGAGGGGGACCUUCGGGCCUCUCACUAUCGGAUGAACCCAGAUGGGAUUAGCUAGUAGGCGGGGUAACGGCCCACCUAGGCGACGAUCCCUAGCUGGUCUGAGAGGAUGACCAGCCAGACUGGAACUGAGACACGGUCCAGACUCCGACGGGAGGGAGCAGUGGGGAAUAUUGCACAAUGGGCGCAAGCCUGAUGCAGCCAUGCCGCGUGUAUGAAGAAGGCCUUCGGGUUGUAAAGUACUUUCAGCGGGGAGGAAGGCGAUGUGGUUAAUAACCGCAUUGAUUGACGUUACCCGCAGAAGAAGCACCGGCUAACUCCGUGCCAGCCGCCGCCGUAA
rnacentral:rRNA from 1 species